UAACCUGGGAUAGAGUGGUACUGAAAAACAAAUGAAAAGGCUGACUUCUUUCGAAUAGAGUGAAGAGAUGAGAUUCCGAAAAUGUUGGAGCCUGUGAUUUACUGUUUGAAGAACUUUUGGGUGUUCCAGUACUCUACAGUCUCUGAGAGGAUUUCAAGAGGCAGGGGAAAUGUACGAACCUAAAAGUGGGCAGGCUAUGGGACAGCUGUGGGGCGCAUUCCAAUGCUCUGCUCCAUUUUGCCAAAUAAAGCUUCCAUUGUUUGCCAAUUAAAGAGAAGGAGGAGAUUGAAGCAUUGAGGGAGAAGAUGGCCCAACACCCACGUCAGAAGCGUCAACCCCCACCACAAAAGGUCCAGAGGGGUUCGGGUGCCAGAGAAUGGGUGUGGUGGAAGAGGAGUCUCUGGAGUCCUUCAAAAACGUGGUCUGCAAGAGCAGACCAGGUUAUCUGUGAGGUAGAUGAUUUGGUGAGUGAGGUGAGAUGAGUGGUGAUUUGGCUGUAGUUCCAGAUGAAAUGUGGUAAAAGUAGGAGAAGCCCCAAGAACUCUUGCUGCUUGAGGGAGUGCAGUUGGCACCAUGCAAUGACAGUGUACACUCUCUCAGGGUCCAUGGUUAUGCCUUGGGGUGAAAGGAUGUAACACAGGAAGGGGCGUGGAACUAGCAUUUCUCUAACUUGCAAGAGAGUUCGAUAUAGAAGAGGUGCUGAAGGACUGAAUGGACAUGACAGUCGUGGUUUUUGAGGGUCUUGGAGAAGAUUAGAAUAUCCUCGAGUCAGGUGAACACAUCCUUGUGUAACAGUUAUUGGAGGAUCUUGUUGCUGAAGGCUUGGAAAAUGGCUGGACUGUUGGAAAGUCCGAAAGGCAUCACCAUGAAUUCGUAGUGGCCCCUGGAGUUUAUAAAAACCAUCUUCCACUCAACACCUGGCGAGUAUUCAAUCGGCGCCGUUGAUCCAGUUUGUGAAGACGUGAGGGGGCACAGAGUGCUUCGAAUGUGCGAUCCAUCAAGGGGAGAGAAUAGUGGUUCCUGAUGGUGAUUUUGUUGAGUCCACUGUAGUCCUUGCAGGGACGAAGACCCCCAUCUUUCUUUUUGACAAAGAAUCCUGCACAGGCGGGGGACAGAGAUGGUCGAAUGUAGGCAUGCUGUAGCACUUCAGAGAUGCACUCAUUCAUGGCUUACUUCUCAGGCAGGCAGAGGGAGCACAGACAACCUUCAGGCGGGUUGGUGCCAGAGGAAGCCACCGUGUGGUUUGUGAAAUGGCAGGGUGCUAGCUUCCCGUUCAUUGAUAGCAAUAGCUGAGUUGUCGUAUUCUUGUGGGAGUCUAGUCGAGAGUUCCCUACGUUUUCACAGAUCUACGGGGUAAAGUCAGCUGAGGAUGCAGGCAGGUGGGUCCCCAACUCAGCAGAGAACUGGAUGACCAGGUGAAAUAAAGGUCCUAGGUGGAGAUCAGGGGUAACCUAGGAUGACAGAAGAGUUGGGCGAGUCAAUAAGGAGGUAUCAAUGGAUUCCCAGUGCUCUCCGAUGCUCCUGUGUACAGUCUGUGUGCACACUCGGACCAUCAAAGACUCCAAGGAACUUGUGGCAAUGACUGUAAUACAGAAGGAGUGAGAGAUCAGCUCAGCAGGGAGUCCAAGCUACACAUCCAGAGGCCGGUCCAGAAGGUUGCCUCCUGCGCUGGAUCUCCCAGAGCCUGCUCUGUCCAUAGAGCCAUAGGGGUGUGAAGGAGAAGAGAGAGAGUUGGACUAUUGUGCUGGAACAACACGCCAGGGGGAGCUUACCAGAUAAAAGACAAUGGCUGUUUCUGCCAGUCUCUAUCUGGUGGUGCCAUUUUCCUGGACCAGUGGGCAUUGACAUGUGGAUGAUCAGCGGAUCUGCAGUAAGUGCACAAGUUUUUCCUCCACUGAUUUUCAUGCUCUUGGGAGGUGAGGGAAGCCCUCCAUAACUGCAUGGGUUAUGGAGACAUUGAUGAUGAGGGUCCUGAGGCUUGGGAAUGGAACUGGGGUUCUGGCUGGUGAUCUGGAGGGUCAUCCCUAUAGAAGUUAGUCAAUUCAGAGGGCCAAAGUAACGAGGCUAUCGAGGUCGGUGGACAUCUCCCAGUUAGACAGCUCAUCUUUCACAUGUUUUAAAGGCCGUGAUGGCAAUGGGCCAGCAGCAUUUCCACAAUCCAGAUGCACUCUACUGAACUCCACAAUGUAAUCCAACAUCAAGCACGAGCCUUCACACAUGCGAAGUAUCCGAUCCUCUGGUCCCCUUCCACUUUCCAGAUGACCAAUAACAUGGUGCAUCUCAGUGGUAAAAUCCUCAUAUUGGUUGCAAAUGCUGGUUUUAUUGUCCCAGUUAGCGGCAGCUCAGGUCAAAGCUCAAAAAAUCAAGAGAAAUGACAAAAGCGAUCUUGGUUCAAUCGGUAAAGUACAGAGAUGGCUGGAGCUCGAAGUGCAAGAUGUACUGGGACAAGAAGUUGUGGCAUUAGUUGAGGAUUUGUUCAGGCACCAGAAUAUCAGCCUCAGGGAGAGGAAGUUGCUUGUUGCGAUGCUGCCGUAUCGAGAUAGAGAGUUGGAAGUGACUGGCAACCAGAUGGUCAAUGGUUUCUUGCUGCUUCUGGACUGAGUGCUCAGGUUAAUGGAUGACUUAGGUGAACAUACUCUGCUGGGUUAAAUGUUGGUUCACUCAUCCUGUCAGGAAAUGUAGUGGAGGUCUAACCCAAAAGCAGAGCAGUGGAAACGAUCACUGUAGUAAUAAACCGCAAAAUAACAAGCCACGAGCAGCCACAACACAAGGGAGAAUGGAUACUUAACACAACUAGGCAACAAGAUAACUGAGGGCUAGCAGCAACUGUUUGAGGCUGACUGGUUCGAUGGGUGAACCAGGACCGUGGUGAGAGUUGGGUUUAAAUAGGUUGCAGGUGAUGAAUUGGAAGCAAGUGGCUGAUGACUCCUGUUUGUUGGAUUGAGACAGUGAGGAGCAUUCAUGUGCAGGCCUGACAGAUUCUGAUAUUAGGCAAGUAUAGAUUUUUUUGUCAAUGAAUAACUCUUCAUUCUGUUUUUGUUCCAGUUGCAUUAUAAUGUUGGAAAUGAUGAAAUAAUUAGGCACUCCUGAAGCAGUGUUCAAUGUUCAGGUACUUUGACAAGUUUAUGCAUACAUAUUUUUAAAAUAUGUUGCUGUUUUGAAUUUUAACAGGCUAAGUUCAAGGUCAGGUUAUUGAGAAAGGUAUACAUACGCAGGGAAGCAUGCAAAAUGCUGGAGGAACUCAGCUGGCCAGACAACGUCUAUGGAAAAGAGAAAACAGUCGACAUUUCAGGCCAAGACCCUUCAGCAGGACUCUUUUCCAUAGAGAUGCUCCUGGCCUGCCGAGUUCCUCCUCGCAUUUUGUGUGUGUUGCUUUGGAUUUCCAGCACCUGCAGGUUUUUUUUUGUUUGCGAUAGAUACGCAGAGUAUAAGUACCGUGAAAACUGGGUUUUGCAGUAGCAAAAAAUUUGUUUCAAUCAUGACAAACAUAAAUUAAUACAGAAAGAACUAAAUUAAUAUAAACUGCUGUAUCAAUGAAAACCUGCUUUUUCAUUGUGCCAGGCCAGAAAUCCUGGAGUAAAUGUGCAAUCAGCAAGGAAAUAGCUCAGUCAUUAAAACUAAUGUUACCUGAUCAUAAGAAUACUGCUGACUGUCAGAAUUGUACAUGUUUUCCUGGCUAAAUUUCAUAUAUUGCAAUAAUUGUACAACUUUAAAAAAAAUACUUGCUUAUCUGUAAAUACCUUUGAAAUUGCAGAGCUUAACAAAGAAUAUUCUUUUAUUGUUUCACUUAUUCCAUUUUCUCUGAUGUGUGUGCAAGGGAUUACAUUUUAUUAA